UUUAGCAGAGAACUCGAGGACGCUCAGCUACUCAAGGGCACUCUUUCGUCCUUGUCCCGGGGGUUUCCUCUCCUCCAGCCGUUCUGUCCUCUGUCUCUAGUUUUCUCCAGUAGGAGGUGUAGGACGCAGUCAUAGUGUUUUAAUCCUCAGCUCUGGCUUUCUGCUUGGAGAACUGGAGAAUAAAGACACUGCAGAGAGGGGAAGAGCCUCCUGGCCUCUCCUGGCUCAUGGGUCCUUACUCAGGGUUGUACUUAGCGUACAAUAUGCGAGUACAGGGCUGCUCAGUGCCGGCCUAGUGCCUGGCCGGUGCCCUGUGAUGUUUUUAAUCAGGCAGCUAGAACUACUUUGGGGCGAGGGGAAUGGGAAAAGGACAGGGGGAGGUUCUACUUGAAAACCUGUUCAGAGGCUUUACAGGUUCCCACGCUGAGGACUUUCCCCGCCAGCCCACCAGUGACAUCUUCUCCGCGCCCCACCUCACCCCCUGCUUCCUUCACCUGCACCUCCAGCUGCAAGUUGCCCUUUUGGGACAUUUCCUUUUGUUUCUUUCCCAAGGUUUUCCUGUUGUUCAUUUAAUCAGAGUUACCUCCUGAAAGAAGCGAAGGGGGCAGCGAAGCACUCUUGUAACGUGUGAUUUGUCCUGGGGCCGUUGCUCCACAUGGGCGGCCCUGGCCACUUUCACUAACAGUAACAGGGACACGCUGCAUAACCGCUAAGGGUCAGCUACCACCCUGGGCGCUGAGACAAAUAAACAGAAUUCCUGGCCUGGAAAGACCUUAAAGGAUCUAGUUUUUGCACCUCCGCUUAAGGACAAGCUUGAAUAGCUUCAUUUGCUUUGAGAGAAAAGCAAAAGAAGCCAGUCAACCUCAUGAAUGAAUGGAAGAAAAAAGCAGUCAGAAAUGCAUAACGAAGAGUCAUUGAGUAAAGAUGGGCAGGGUUUGAAAAACAGAGGGAAAUUUCCCAAACACCGAGAUAAACAGAUACUGUUCGCUGAACAGCGUGUACGGAGUUGCCUGCCAACCAUUGUUAGUGUUGAAUCACCGAUUUUUAGUACCAAAAAUAACUUGGGAGACUGUCUGACCUAAUGCUCUCACCAUUUUAUGGAUCCAGAGAUAUUAAGUGAUUCUCUUAAGGUCGUACAACCUGCCUUCUGAUGCUGAAAACCACCGUGCCACACUGCCUCCAGGUACCGAUGAGGGUGUCAAGGGAUGAGGACCGUUUGGAGAGCUUGGCAACAGGGGAGGCGAGCCCUAGCACCUAUAACUGCUGAAGUUUUCUUCAAGGAAAACAGUUGCUUUGUUUGCAACCCAUACAUACCAGAUUGUACUAGAUCAUAGCACAGAACUAUCUCUAAUAUAUGGAAAUUACAAUUUUCAAGGAAAAGGCCUUCUCCGGGCAUGGUUAGCUCACAUGUGAGAGCGGGACCAUGAUGAAGUUGGAAGGCUCUUUCUGCUCCGAAAAGAAGGCAGGCCUGGCAAACUACAACUCGUGGCCCACUGGUGGAAAAAUCAUUCCAGGCAUGGAUCCACAUGAGGGUCAUUGGUAAGAGGUAGCAUCUAUAAAGGUGAAAAAAAAAACUCACUUAAUAUAAAAGAUGCAAGUGUUUGGGUGUGCGAAAGCCCCCAGCUAUAAUAAAUCAUCAUUGCAAACACUAUUUCUUGUGUCCCCAAGUUUCAACAGUGCCUGCGCUGAUGACAGGAACCUAGUGAUGGCAUCAAGACUUUCAUUUAUCCGCAAAGGUGUGAGGGGGACCUGGGCAGCCCCUGGAGCAAAUGCAAGAGGGGGAACCACCUGUGCCCCUCCAUGUGUGGGGUCCUGGAUGCCGCUGUUGGAGAAGAGAGGAAAAUAGCUGCCUGUAAUAUGGGCUGUUGAACAUUAUGGGCUACCUUGGAGUGCUGAGCAUAAAGGCACCGCUAAAGACUGAUGGAUAGGAUCGCUACUGGGGAGCGAUAAAUGAAGUGGGGGACUGCGCAAAGAGGGAGAAGAAGUACACAGAUGAUUUUCAUUUCCUAAUAGGCAUUCUGCCUGGAAACCUGUAUAAAGACCUGAAGUAUGUAUUGCUUGAAAGGCUGAGAAUGUUUAAAAUGUCAUCUUAAAUUAGUAAGUGUCUUUAAAUCUUCACUCUUUUGUCACGUUUUACUAAUGUUUAUUACACACCAUAAAUCUUAUUCAUCUCCACAUAAAUUGAGCCCCCUAGCCACAAGGGAGACAAGUACUUCUGCUGGCUGAUCUGCAAUUCUGGAGCAGGGAAUGACAUCAAAUAUUACGACUGGAAAAAAAAAAAAAAAAGGGAAGCAGCAGCUCUCCCAGAGCAAACUGGUUUGGGGAGAAGGAAUAACAGCCUUCUCCCUCCAGGAGUGGGAAAAAAUUGUAGUCGCUUUAAAAUUCUGUUUAGUGAUUUUAGGGGUUAGGUGAUGUUUCUAACGCAAGUUUAAAUAAGUUAUUUUAAAUAUGCCUGCAUUCAGGUUGAUUUCAGGAAGGACAAUAUAGUGAAUGAAAUAAGCUGAACAGGAGUAACAAUUUGUUAAGCUAGCACCCCCCCCCAAAAGGAGCAAAUUAAAAAGGUUCAGGGUUAUCUGUGGUGUGAAUUGAAUAUAUGUAAGAGUGUAUGAAAGAGCGGAGUUAAAAAAAAAAAGGCUUCUAUUUAGAAGACAUAGAGUGACUGUUCCCAGACUUCCGGGUUUCAGAGACCAGUAAAACCUUUUGUAAAUUUCAAGGACUGACAUGUGGUUGACAACUUUUUAUUUCUCCAAUUAAGGAUACUUUAAAAUGUUAUUAAGUAUUACUUUGCAUACUCUAAGUAGCAGAGAUCCUCCUACUCAGAGUUUCAAAAACUAAGUAAGUUUAGGGAAAACUCAUUUCUUGUCCUUUAUUUUCUCAUGAAUGAGCAAUGGAAUGCAAACAACUGUAUUGGAAUUGGGGUGGGUUCCAGGGAGAUCUGUUUCUAAUUCCAGUGAGAUCUCCAGUAUUUUAGGGAGCUACUGCCCACCCCCGCACCUUGGUCUCAGGAGCUCUGCUCCAAAAGGCUGCAGUUUGCUACUGCUGUGUUCCCCAAAGGAAUGGGCAGCUUGAGUACCUCGGUGGUGGGUACAGUGACCUGUCAGCUUUUGUUCCAUCUGGGAAGUCAGAGAUGGCCUGGUGGAGAGAAUGGCCGUCCGAAGAACUCUGGACUGAGCUACACCCUCCCUGACUGCCUGGAAAGUCCUUCUCCAGCUGGGAAAUUUUAGUGCCAGAGAUGCUGCUCUCCUAAGUCAAUCCUGACCAGCCCCCGUCCCCCUGGGUAGAAUAGAACAAUGCUCUGCAAACUGGGCUGAUCAGCACAACAAGGUAGAAAGCACUUUAAAAAUGCAACUUUGGGUCUCCAGGUCUGGAAAUUCCAAUUCAGUGGCCCUGGGGUGUGCUCUGGAAGCUGUGCUUUUUAAAAAUAAGACUCUCUGGUUUUGAAGCCUGGGUUGCAGACCACAGGCGGAGUGCUUACUCUCCCGGGCUCCCUCCUACCCCCGGACAGACUUGGUAUCAUAUUCCUUAUAACACAGUGCAAAUGACAAGAUUGCUUUUUUUCUCUGGUAACUGUCCCUCCCGACCCCUACACCCACCCCGGCAUCAACACUAGCACACACACACACACACACACACACACACACACACAUGCACGCACGUACACACACUCCCCAAAUUAUGAAAACUUAAAGCAGGGAAUGACUGACGUUAGCUUCCACAGCAUCCAGUGUAAUGCCUGAUGCAGAGCAGGGGCUGGCUAAAUACUUACGUGAUGUCUGUCAGUAUAUAAGUCUUUCCAACUCUAAAACUCGGCAUUUCUCUCUUCUCCAUUGAUAAGCAAUAAGAUAAGGCAAUAGAAAGUUUAGACUCACGAAGAAUGGUAAGCAGGGAGCUAGGAGGCUGAUAUACUGGAAAGAUCUGGGUGUGUGCACAGGACGUACCACUGCAGCUAUGGGACCCUGAGCCACGUGUUUCACUCCUUAGUCCUCAGGAUGCUCAGCUGUCAGACAGGCCAAGUGCUUUCUGUGACCUCUUUUCAGCCCGGAAAUUCAGUGACGAAUAGAUGAACCUAAUUUUCUUUUGAAAAUUAGAAACUGGCUUACAUGUGUCUUAAUACUUCUGAGUACUAAAGAUACUUCUUAAGUAUCUUAAGUAUUAAAAUGCUUCUUAAUACUGAAAUUAUACAAUGUCAAGGAAAGUGCAAUUUUCCUGAAGGGCUAGCCCCCUUAACUUAACUCUUUUUAUGAUUAUGGCUUUAAAAUAAAAAGGUUUUUUCUUCUCUAUUCUACCAGCACAA